rnacentral:tRNA from 1 species
GCCGACGUAGCUCAGUCGGUAGAGCAGCGGUUUCGUAAACCGCAGGUCCCCGGUUCAAGUCCGGGCGUCGGCUCCA